rfam:Candidatus Ruthia magnifica str. Cm (Calyptogena magnifica), complete genome.
GCGGGAAUAGCUCAGCUGGUAGAGCGUCACGUUGCCAACGUGAAUGUCGCGAGUUCGAAUCUCGUUUCCCGCU